UACGUAGGGGGCAAGCGUUGUCCGGAUUAUUGGGCGUAAAGAGCGUGUAGGCGGCCAGGUAGGUCCGCUGUGAAAACUCGAGGCUCAACCUCGAGAUGUCGGCGGAAACCAUCUGGCUAGAGUCCGGAAGAGGAGAGUGGAAUUCCUGGUGUAGCGGUGAAAUGCGCAGAGUAUCAGGAAGAACACCCGUGGCGAAGGCGGCUCUCUGGGACGGGUACUGACGCUGAGACGCGAAAGCGUGGGGAGCGAACAGG
rnacentral:rRNA from 1 species